ACGGGGUGCAGCAGGCGCGAAAACUUCACACUGUGCGAAAGCACGAUGAGGGAAUCCCAAGUGCUUGCACGUAAGUGUAAGCUGUUUCUUUGUUUAAAACGCAUUGAGAGUAAGGGCUGGGUAAGACGGGUGCCAGCCGCCGCGGUAAUACCUGCAGCUCGAGUGGUGGCCGCUAUUAUUGGGCCUAAAACGUCCGUAGCCGGUUUAAUAAAUGCCUGGGUAAAUCGUGUAGCUCAACUAUACGAAUUCCGGGUAGACUGUUAAGCUUGAGACCGGGAGAAGUUAGAGGUACUCCUGGGGUAGAGGUGAAAUUCUGUAAUCCUAGGGGGACCACCAGUGGCGAAGGCGUCUGACUAGAACGGGUCUGACGGUGAGGGACGAAGCCCUGGGGCGCAAACCGGAUUAGAUACCCGGGUAGUCCAGGGUGUAAACGCUGCUUGCUUGAUGUUGGUUGGGCUCCGAGCCCAAUCAGUGUCGGAGAGAAGUUGUUAAGCAAGCUGCCUGGGAAGUACGGCCGCAAGACUGAAACUUAAAGGAAUUGGCGGGGGAGCACAGCAACGGGUGGAGCGUGCGGUUUAAUUGGAUUCAACGCCGGAAAACUCACCGGAGGCGACGGUUAUAUGAAAGCCAGGCUGAUGACCUUGCUAGAUUU
rnacentral:rRNA from 1 species